ACUUAGAGUUUGAUCAUGGCUCAGGACGAACGCUGGCGGCGCGCUUAACACAUGCAAGUCGAGCGAGAACCCACCUUCGGGUGGGGGAAAGCGGCGAACGGGUGAGUAACACGUGGGCAACCCACCCUUGGUAUCGGGAUAGCCCGGGGAAACCCGGAUUAAUACCGGAUGGCCCAGCAGCUCUUCGGGGCGGCUGGAAAAGGUAGCUUCGGCCUCCGACCAAGGACGGGCCCGCGGCGGAUUAGCUUGUUGGUGGGGUAACGGCCUACCAAGGCGACGAUCCGUAGCUGGUCUGAGAGGACGAUCAGCCACACUGGGACUGAGACACGGCCCAGACUCCUACGGGAGGCAGCAGUGGGGAAUCUUGCGCAAUGGGCGAAAGCCUGACGCAGCGACGCCGCGUGGGGGAAGAAGGCUUUCGGGUUGUAAACCCCUUUCAGGUGGGACGAAGCCACUCGGGUUAAUAGCCCAGAGGGUGACGGUACCGCCAGAAGAAGCCCCGGCUAACUACGCGCC
rnacentral:rRNA from 1 species